AGCAAAUUUUCUUUACGGAGAGUUUGAUCCUGGCUCAGGAUGAACGCUGGCGGCGUGCUUAACACAUGCAAGUCGAACGGUGAAGCAGAGCUUGCUCUGUGGAUCAGUGGCGAACGGGUGAGUAACACGUGAGCAAUCUGCCCCUGACUCUGGGAUAAGCGCUGGAAACGGCGUCUAAUACCGGAUACGAGCUGCGACCGCAUGGUCAGUAGCUGGAAAGAAUUUCGGUCAGGGAUGAGCUCGCGGCCUAUCAGCUUGUUGGUGAGGUAAUGGCUCACCAAGGCGUCGACGGGUAGCCGGCCUGAGAGGGUGACCGGCCACACUGGGACUGAGACACGGCCCAGACUCCUACGGGAGGCAGCAGUGGGGAAUAUUGCACAAUGGGCGCAAGCCUGAUGCAGCAACGCCGCGUGAGGGAUGACGGCCUUCGGGUUGUAAACCUCUUUUAGCAGGGAAGAAGCGAAAGUGACGGUACCUGCAGAAAAAGCGCCGGCUAACUACGUGCCAGCAGCCGCGGUAAUACGUAGGGCGCAAGCGUUAUCCGGAAUUAUUGGGCGUAAAGAGCUCGUAGGCGGUCUGUCGCGUCUGCUGUGAAAACCCGAGGCUCAACCUCGGGCCUGCAGUGGGUACGGGCAGACUAGAGUGCGGUAGGGGAGAUUGGAAUUCCUGGUGUAGCGGUGGAAUGCGCAGAUAUCAGGAGGAACACCGAUGGCGAAGGCAGAUCUCUGGGCCGUAACUGACGCUGAGGAGCGAAAGGGUGGGGAGCAAACAGGCUUAGAUACCCUGGUAGUCCACCCCGUAAACGUUGGGAACUAGUUGUGGGGUCCAUUCCACGGAUUCCGUGACGCAGCUAACGCAUUAAGUUCCCCGCCUGGGGAGUACGGCCGCAAGGCUAAAACUCAAAGGAAUUGACGGGGACCCGCACAAGCGGCGGAGCAUGCGGAUUAAUUCGAUGCAACGCGAAGAACCUUACCAAGGCUUGACAUAUAGAGGAAACGUCUGGAAACAGUCGCCCCGCAAGGUCUCUAUACAGGUGGUGCAUGGUUGUCGUCAGCUCGUGUCGUGAGAUGUUGGGUUAAGUCCCGCAACGAGCGCAACCCUCGUUCUAUGUUGCCAGCACGUAAUGGUGGGAACUCAUGGGAUACUGCCGGGGUCAACUCGGAGGAAGGUGGGGAUGACGUCAAAUCAUCAUGCCCCUUAUGUCUUGGGCUUCACGCAUGCUACAAUGGCCGGUACAAAGGGCUGCAAUACCGUGAGGUGGAGCGAAUCCCAAAAAGCCGGUCCCAGUUCGGAUUGAGGUCUGCAACUCGACCUCAUGAAGUCGGAGUCGCUAGUAAUCGCAGAUCAGCAACGCUGCGGUGAAUACGUUCCCGGGUCUUGUACACACCGCCCGUCAAGUCAUGAAAGUCGGUAACACCUGAAGCCGGUGGCCCAACCCUUGUGGAGGGAGCCGUCGAAGGUGGGAUCGGUAAUUAGGACUAAGUCGUAACAAGGUAGCCGUACCGGAAGGUGCGGCUGGAUCACCUCCU
rnacentral:rRNA from 1 species